rnacentral:rRNA from 1 species
GACGAACGCUGGCGGCGUGCUUAACACAUGCAAGUCGAGCGGUAAGGCCCUUUCGGGGGUACACGAGCGGCGAACGGGUGAGUAACACGUGGGUGACCUGCCUUUAGCUCUGGGAUAAGCCUGGGAAACUGGGUCUAAUACCGGAUAUGACUCCAUGAUGCAUGUUGUGGGGUGGAAAGCCUUGUGCGGCUGGAGGUGGGCCCGCGGCCUAUCAGCUUGUUGGUGGGGUGAUGGCCUACCAAGGCGACGACGGGUAGCCGGCCUGAGAGGGCGACCGGCCACACUGGGACUGAGACACGGCCCAGACUCCUACGGGAGGCAGCAGUGGGGAAUCUUGCGCAAUGGGCGAAAGCCUGACGCAGCGACGCCGCGUGAGGGAUGACGGCCUCGG